AUGUUCCCGGUAGCAUUUGGAAUAUUUGAGAAAGAAAAUACAGAAAAUUGGGUAUGGUUCAUGGAGCAGCUGAAAUUGGCCAUUGGAGAGCCAGAAGGGCUUGCAAUCCAUACAGAUGCAUGUAAGGGGUUGGAGAACGCCAUAUCUAAGGUCUACCCAAAUUGUGAACAUAGAGAAUGCAUGAUGCAUCUGAUGCUUAACUUCAAGAAAAAUUUCAAAGGUGACAUACUUGAUAAUAUGUGGCCUGCAGCUUGGACAUAUGAGGUAGAGAAGCAUGAUUCACUAAUGGCAGAAAUACAAGCACAAAGCGCUGAAGCAAUAGCAUAUUUGAACAUGCAUCACAACCGUGUGUGGACAAGAAGCAAAUUUUCAGCAAUGACAAAAAUUGAGUAUGUUAGCAAUGAUUUGGCAGAGGUUUUCAACAAUUGGAUUAAGGAUGUGAAGCAACUUGCACUUGUUGAGCUUUUGGACAACCUUAGGGAAAUGAUAAUGAUUUUGUUUGAGAAAAGGAGAGGUGUUGCUGAAGCGUUGCUAGGUUACAUACUGCCUAGUGUGAUAAAGGAGUUGAAUUUAAAAAGUAAGGGGCUACAUUAUUUGGAAGCAAGAGCAUCGCCAAAUAUAGCUGAGAUUUCGGGAAAUGGAUGGAGGCACACCGUUAACUUGGAGAAAAAAGAGUGCUCUUGUAGGAGAUGGCAGAUUUGUGGUAAACCAUGCACACAUGCUCUCCGGUUCAUAUUUUCGAAGAAAGCCAAACUAGAGGAUUAUGUUGAUGGGUGCUUCUCAGUGGCAAGAUUCCAACCAGCAUAUGAGGGAAUUCUCAUGCCAAUUAGGGGCAGGUCCCAAUGGCCCAAGGUAAAUCCUGGUUUUGAUAUGAUCCCUCCCGAACUUACUAAGAGUGUUGGACGUCCAAGAACUAGGAGGAUAAAAAAUUACACAGUAGGUGGAACCGGCAGAAAACAUAAAUGCAAAAGGUGUGGAGCAUUAGGCCAUCUUCAAAAGACUUGCAAGGAGCCAGAGAUGGAAAGUGACGCGGACCGAGAUGCUACUCCUCCUCCACGGAAAAAAUCAAAGGCUCAAGCAAGCAUUGCAACUACUUCUCCUAAGACACCAACUAAGCAAGGUACUCAACUUGAUACUCCUACAAGUCCAAUGACCAGGCAGAGGACAGUAGCUAUUGCAAUCGCUUCUACACCUCCGUGUGCGUCUACAAGGAGCAAAACUGCUGCUCCUAGCCCUCUAUGGCGAGUUUAG
rnacentral:rRNA from 1 species